GGAAUGUAGCUCAAUGGUAGAUCAUUUGCCUAGCAUAUGCAAGGCCCUGGGUUCAAUCCCCAGUACCA
rnacentral:tRNA from 1 species